GCCUCCUUUUUGAAAAUUCGGACAAACGGACCUUCGGAACAAUGGGUUCCGUUUCCGUAACAUUGAACCGUCGGCAUAGUUGCAUGUCGAUCUAAUGAAAAAUAUUUCGGACCAUUGAGACGUCGGAACAAUGAGGUGUCGGGAUUACGGGCAGGCCCCAUGAAUCAAGGGACCCGUCCACAGCCUGCUUAAACAGCUGCAAUACCAGGCUUGGCCGCGGAGCACUGGUGGAUUGCAGAAGUGUGCACUGUUCCUGGGGGCUUGCUUGAAACAAACGGCACUCACGAGGAUUCGAACCUGCGCGGGAAGAUCCCAAUGGAUUUCUAGUCCAUCGCCUUCGUCCACCACUCGGCCAAAGCACGGGCAUAAAGGGCAGCUUGAAGGGGCGAAAAGGGGGAUAGAGGGAAGAAGAGAAAAGAAAAAGAGGAGAAAAUGAUUGACAACAGUUGCACACUCUUACCAGGAUUUGCACCUGGAGUCUCCCACCCCAAGGAUGGACGUGUUACUAUUACACCACAAGAGUUGUUAUUUUUGUAGUUGUUUUUAUUUUUGCAAAUAGUUGCAUAAGCAACUAUUCUGUUUGUUUUUUUUUGCAAAUAGUUGCAACGGCAACUAAUUAUUAUUAUUUUUUGCAACAGC
ensembl:lncRNA